AAUCACCAGGCCUUUGGGUCUACAAUGAUUAUUGAGUUAAUGGACUCAUUAUCAAACACCUUAAUGGGAGGCUAUGACUCAGUUAUCUCCAUAACUUUAUCAUUUUAAGGACCUAAUAAUUUUAGAGGAUUUAAAUGAUUUAGAGGAUGAGGUCAGAUGAACCAGCAUAUCAUGAUCCUCCCAGUGGCUUCACCAAGUCAGUUUAAGGGAGACCAUUAAAAGGGCUGGUCUAAGAGCACCUAAAUCAGUCACACUGAUUUACCUAGCUGACAUGGGUCAGCUCGAAUAGUCAAGUGAUCCGAUCAAAAUAUAAUUUCAUCAAGAGGCCAGGUAAGUUCGAUCAGUGGGAGGGUCGGCCAAAGCUUGCCUUAGACACCAUCAGAAAUGGCCAGGUAAGCGGGCUCCCAAUUAAAAACCACCGGUCUGGUUUACCUUAGACACCAACUGGUUUAAUUAGUUUUGAUUAGAUCAACCUAACAGUUCGUGCUAGAUCGCUUAGCCAAAAAUCAAGUCCAUUUGGUUCUCAUUAAAGAUAUGGACUUGACCAACUACAACUAUUGUAAUUGAUCUAAAAAAUCCUUGACCUAAUCUAAGACAACAAUUGAUUAGAUUUAGUCAAUUCUCUAAUUAAGUCCAUCUUUAAUCUAACCAUAGGUCUAACCCAAUUAAUGGACCUAAUUCCCACUAACCCAUUAAUCCAAUGUGUUAUGGUUUGUGUCUUAGGUUCUUCAAUUCACAAUCC
rnacentral:lncRNA from 1 species